rnacentral:rRNA from 1 species
GACAGAGGCCUCAAGCGUUAGGCGGAAUCACUGGGCUUAAAGCGUGUGUAGGCGGAUCGUUAAGUACCUUGUGAAAUCCCACGGCUCACCGUGGAACUGCUGGGUAUACUGGGCGUCUUGGGGCCAAUUCGGAGGGCGACUGGAACAAGCGGUGGAGCGGUGAAAUGCGUAGAUAUCGCUUGGAACGCCGAAGGUGAAAACAGG